GACGAACGCUGGCGGCGUGCUUAACACAUGCAAGUCGAACGGACAGGCCCUGCGUUUGUUGCUUUCUCGAGUGCCGAACGCGUGUGUAUCACGUGAGUAUCCUCCCCUUGUCUUUGGGAUAACUUCUGGAAACUCCGGCUAUUACACCAUAGGAUCUCCUGCUGCAUGUUGGUGGUUGGAAAGUUUCGGCUGUGGGGGAUGGACUCGCGGCUUAUCAGCUUGUUUGUGGGGUAGUGGCUUACCAAGCCUUUGACGGCUAGCCGGCCUGAGAGGGUGAACGGCCACAAUGGGACUGAGAGACGGACCAGAAGGCAACGGGAGGCAGUAGGGGGGAGUAUUACGGAAUGGGCGGGAGCGUGAUGCAGAAACGCCGCGAGCGGGAUAACGGCCUUCGGGUUAUAAACCGAUUUGGACUGAGACGAAGAGUGAGUGACGGUAAUGGGUAAAAAAGCAACGGCUAACUACGUG
rnacentral:rRNA from 1 species